GACGAACGCUGGCGGCGUGCCUAAUACAUGCAAGUAGAACGCUGAAGGAGGAUCUUGCUUCUCUGGAUGAGUUGCGAACGGGUGAGUAACGCGUAGGUAACCUGCCUGGUAGCGGGGGAUAACUAUUGGAAACGAUAGCUAAUACCGCAUAAUAGUAGAUGUUGCAUGACAUUUGCUUAAAAGGUGCAAUUGCAUCACUACCAGAUGGACCUGCGUUGUAUUAGCUAGUUGGUGGGGUAACGGCUCACCAAGGCGACGAUACAUAGCCGACCGGAGAGGGUGAUCGGCCAAAAUGGGACUGAGACAAGGCCCAGACUACUACGGGAGGCAGCAGUAGGGAAGCUUCGGCAAUGGACGGAAGUCUGACCGAGCAACGCCGCGUGAGUGAAGAAGGGUUUCGGAUCGUAAAGCUCUGUUGUAAGAGAAGAAAGAGUGUGAGAGUGGAAAGUUCACACUGUGACGGUAUCUUAACAGAAAGGGACGGCUAACUACGUG
rnacentral:rRNA from 1 species